GGGCACUUUGGCCCGGGUUAAAAUUGCCUCUUGGGGUCGUUUUAGUGCGAAUCGGCUGGGGAAGAGAGCGGGGGUAGGGGAAGGAAGAACACCUGCCCCAUCCUGUUGGGUUGGUGUGUGGGGUUUUUUUAAGCUUAACUUAUUUGAGCUAAGUAUUUUUAAGGACCAGCGAAGCAGCUUCCACAUUUCGGCUGAAGAAGCCAAUGCGAGGCGUGCGCCGAAGGAUAGAAAAGAGAUGGAAAAGAGAUCCGCCUUAGGGAAACAGGAACCUCGCAAUUGGGACCAACGAGGUCUUAUUGAGGGAAGCGAGGUGGGGUAGUGGGAAUAGCUGGCGCUUCCUCAACCCGGACACGGUCACUUGCCCCGACGGAGCCCCGCGUGGUGGGCCUCCAGAUCAUCCUGCUUCCUGGGGUGGAUCUCCUUUUGCCGUCUCUUCUCCCCCAAAGAACCGCCCUGCCCCCGAUCAGCAGCCCCCGGGGUUAAGAAAGCCUGGAAAACAAUCGCAAGGGCCAGAGGGAAGCCCGACGUUGCUUUUCCUGAAAGAAAGCCACCUGGGGCUAGACCAGCAGAGGAUUAGCAGGAUGCAAUCCAAAGAUGCACCCGAGAUCUAAAGAUGAUCAGGGCGUGAGGCUGCAGUGCCUUCAAGGAUCGAUAACAACGCGCCUGCGUUUUCAGGUACUUUGCAUCAGGAAAAAAGCAAAAGUAGAGCAGUGGCACCCUUUCGACUCCCAGAUUACCUUCGUUUUAAGCGUGACCCUAAGCUGGUUUAUCAGCCUCGGCAGCGGGAAGGAUCCUCAUCACAUUAUCAGGCGCAUCAUCAGUUAAUGGUAGGUCUAUAAAACCACCUCGUGAACAGGGAAGACGACUAAGCUCGACGGUCCCAUCAGCACGGCAGGAAGAGGACAGCGACUAAUAACGACACUCUUCCAGAGGCGAUUUUUCAUUUUUCUUUUUGGCUCGGUCCAGGUGGAAAUGAAAUCCAGGAGUGAAUGUGUUGGUCCAGGAAGUGUAUGCCAGCUCGGCCACGCAGCCACUGCAUUACUUCGAGUGAUUCCUCAGCCUCAGUUUUUCAUCUCUAAAAUGGGGGUGACAAUGACUGGCCCCACGCACCUUUGUCCUGAAGAUAAAAGAGGGAAGGAGAUACUGUGCAUGAGCUUUGGGAUGUAGACGUCAACAUCAGAGACGUGUAGCCCAAUAUUUGGCUCUAAUGAUGUUAAACCAAUGUAUAUUGAAUGGGUUUUGAUAUUAUGGAGGUGAGAUGCCCUCCAGAUGUCUUUGGGCUGAAAUAAGGGAUGGAAUGCUUUAAUAAAUAAAAUAAUGCAACAUGCUUGAAGUUUUGCCCUUCUUGCCCCUCCAGAAACUGGACAUGUGUGUUCUCUUUUCUGAGCUCGUUUUCUCACCCACUUUCCUCCCUGCUCACUUGCCUCCCAUGACACCAGGGUUACCUUCAUCUCUUCUGCUGCCACUGACUACACCUCAUUUUGUCUGACUCAGCUUCCUAUCUUCAUCAAGACACACAUACUCCCUCUCUCUCUAAACUCUGUUCUUUCUGUUUCCUACCACUCCCCUCCCCUCUUCCUACUGUGGCUGUUUCUCUUUCCACCCUCUUCCUCUUUCACCACUCCGUCCCUUGCCUUACUGCUUCUUCAGCUCUCUGCUGCUUCCUGCCCUGAUGUCACUCCCUCUGCUGACAUCAGGGCAGCUCAUCCAAUAGCAGCCAGGGCAGGAGGUUUCGCAGCACUGGUGGAACAUAUACAAAUAUUUGAUUAGCGUGGUGGCUUUUCAUAGGGGGAAACCAGGAUUUUAAUCUUUAUAACUUUGGUAUGGAAAUGAAAAUUCAUUUCUGAAACAUCCUGAGAUGUCACAGAACACAAAAGGUUGGUGCAAAUUAUAUAACUCGGCUUAAUUUGCUAUGAUAAAUGUUCCAAUAUAAAGGAUCCGAAUGGUGCAUAGCUUGUGAUAUCAAUAAGUUUUGGAGGUCCCCUCAUAUUUGAAAUAUUGCACCAGAGUUUCCUGAAAUGAAAUUGGCAGAGCAAACUCCACUUUUGCUCCAUCCCACAGCCACCAAUAACAUUCUUCCUUCUUCCAACACCUGUAUUGUCAGAGCACACUCUUGACCCAGGGAUUUGUUUUCAGUGUCAGAACUGAACUCACAGUUCUUUCAUACAGAAAUCCAUUCCAGGUUUUCCCCUUCCCAAGCUUUCCUUAUUUUAGCAGUCUAAUUCUUUUUCUUAUCUUUGGCUUAUUUAUUAUUUCUUUAUUUGGGUUUUCAAAACAACAACAACAACAUACAUAUAAAUGACCACAUGCAUUUCCACAGGAUAUUUAUUGCUUUUCAUAAUACAAUUCUUUUUUUAAUCUUCCAGAUGGAUUUGUCAGAGAUGGGUAUUCAACAGCGUUGGGUUCUGAAAGAACGGUCCUAGUGUUCUCAUACAGUCCAAAUCCUUCUAUAUGCUUCCCGAAUUAUCCUGUUAUUGCUGGAUGUGUUGGUGUAUACAAUAAAGUUGUACCAAUCCACAGUGAA